rnacentral:rRNA from 1 species
AGAGUUUGAUCCUGGCUCAGAGCGAACGCUGGCGGCGUGCUUAACACAUGCAAGUCGAGUGCGCGGUUGUAGCAAUACAACUGGCGCACGGCGCACGGGUGCGUAACACGUGGGCAAUCUGCCCUCCGAUGGGGAAUAACCCCGCGAAAGCGGGGCUAAUACCGCAUAACAUUCCUUGGACCACGGUUCGAGGACUCAAA